rnacentral:rRNA from 1 species
GAAGGUGGGGACGACGUCAAGUCAUCAUGGCCCUUACGAGUAGGGCUACACACGUGCUACAAUGGCGAGUACAGAGGGAUGCAAACCUGCGAAGGUAAGCGGACCCCUUAAAGCUCGUCGUAGUCCGGAUUGGAGUCUGCAACUCGACUCCAUGAAGUCGGAAUCGCUAGUAAUCGCGGAUCAGAAUGCCGCGGUGAAUACGUUCCCGGGCCUUGUACACACCGCCCGUCACACCAUGGGAGUUGGUUUGACCCGAAGACGGUACGCUAACCGCAAGGAGGCAGCCGGCCACGGUAGGGCCAG